UCCCCCGGGGCUACAGGCACCCUGACAGAGGUGGGGUCUCCCCCCCACACACACACGGGGGGCCCCUUUUGGGGGGUGAGGACCCCAGCGGGAUCCCUGCUCAGGACCACAAGCUGCCCACCGGGGCCCUGCCCCGAGCUGCGGACACCUUUGCUGGGCCCCUGCUCCAGGGAACACAGGCACCCAGCCAGGGUCCCAUCCCUAUGGGUGCCCCACCAGAGUCGCCUCCCGAGCAGGCACAGUCCCUGAGGCGGCCCCAGGCACAGGGCUGCCCGGGGGCAAGGUGGGUUGUGAGAGCCCUUGCUACUACCUGGGCAGGGGAGCCGCAAGCAUCAGGGCCUGGCAAGCCAGCUCCCACGGAAGGCUUGUCCACACAGCCCAGGAGGAGCUUCUUUCCCACCACCUUUGCUUGUCCAUCAUGGACUUGGCGCAUGGUCCUUCCCCCACGGCAUAUCUCAAGCGCUUGCUGUAGACGCGCUAACCCCCAAACAGGAUGAGAGUUCGCAGAUGAGGCGAUUUCCCCUUUCUUUGGCUGCCGUUCAGCCCUGCCGGCCAGCCCUGUGCAUCCCUUGAGCUGCAGCCACCGAACCUCAAAAUAGGACGAGCUAUUCAUCCCAGCUGCGGAGGGAUGAACGCUGACCGUGGAUGUCCAGAAGUGCAGUGCGGUUAGCAGGGCUUUGGGGCAGCAGCAGAGGGACAGUACAGGUUACGCACAAACGCUCUGCCCAGCUUCAUCGCAGGAAGGGGGCCAGGCCAAGAGCCCUGCAGGUGGUGAGGACUCACCAGGGGGCUGGAGAGGCGAGGUGCUGAGCUGGGAAGACCGGAGCCCUCCCCCCUCCCGGCCCACGUGCCGCAGCCCGGCGCCCCGUGGCACCUGCCGGCAGUAGAAUGGUGCCAUUCUGCGGGUGGGCAGACAGAGCGCUUUGUGCUGCCGAGCGCCGAGCUCUCGCCUCCCCCACUCAAAGGCAGGAUUGUUCAGGGGCUACCGCCCCCAGCAUCGCGUGUACAGCCCAGCCCCCAGCCAGGCCAGCCCCAGUGCCAGUUGCAGGGCUAUUUGGUGUGGCAGCAGGGGGGAGAGGGGCAUGCAGCCCCCAGGCCACACACAGGGCCAUGUCAUGCCCACUGCAGGAUGCAAGUCCCUGGCUGGCCUUUCUGUGCCUGGGCAGUGCCCCAUGGAACUUCAGGGUCCCCCCUUUUGGUAGAGUGCCUGCUGUGUGCUGCCUAGCAGGCCUCCUGUUCCUCCUCCCUUCACCUCACCUUUGCUGAUGUGCAAAUGAACAUGCAAAGGAUCUCUUUGCAUGCAACCCCUUCCCUGUGGUGGCACAGAGCCUUCAGCUCCCAGCUAUGCAGCAGCCAUAGGAAGGGAACCAUGCUGCUCUCGCUGUCCCUGCAGCAUGGAGCUGCAGGGGCACUGCUGAGUGAGCAGUCACCAUCAGGGUUUAAAGUUUGGGAGCAGCGGGAUGACUUGGAGCAGAGCUGGAGCUGAAGCCAGGGCAGGAGCUCAUCCCUGUGCUUUAGCAGACAGACACUUUCUUUGGAGAGCUGCACUGCUGCUGAGGAAAUUCACCCAGCUAAACAGCAUAGGAUGAUUUCAAGCCGAUGACGGCCUCCUGCAAAAGCUCCCACAGAGCUUGGGAGAUUUCCCCUGUGAGGCUUUGCAAGAUCAUGAUGUGAAAUUCAAGGCUCUAUCUGACGGUACACAAGGCAAAUUUGGAGCCGACACUGAUCCAAGGGCUUGGCUGGUGCAGCAAGCUGCCCGCACAGGGACCAGCCAGCAGUACUGAGUGCCACUAGCUUCCUGGGGCCAUCCCCAUAUAAGAGGUCUCUCCAACCCCCAGACACUGGGGCAGGGCCACCCACAGGGGGCAGAUGGUUGUGUAAUGUUGGGAAGGCCCCAUAUUCCAGCCCCUCUCCCCCUACCCUGGGCCCUCCCCCCCUGGGACCCAUAUCCCAGACCCUCUCCCCUACCCUGGACUGUCUCCCCUAGCACCCAUAUUCCAUUCCCUCUCUCCCCCUUCCCUGGCCCCUCUCCCCUGGGACCCAUAUCCCAGUCCCUCUCUCCCCUUUCCCUGGCCCCUCUGCGCUAGGACCCAUAUUCCAUUCCCUCUCUCCCCCUUCCCUAGGCCCUCUCCCCAAGGACCCAUAUUCCAUUCUCUCUCUCCCCCUACCCUGGCCCCUUUCUCCCUGGGACCCAUACCCCCGCCCCUCUCUCCCCCU